UCUUUCUUUCGGAGAAACAGGCGAUUCUGCUUUUAUUUCCCUUUCAGCCGGUGUCACUUCAAGUUCAGCAACUGAUGGUUUUCUUUCUUUCGGAGAAACAGGCGAUUCUGCUUUUAUUUCCUUUUCAGCCGGUGUCACUUCAAGUUCAGCAACUGAUGGUUUUCUUUCUUUC